rnacentral:snRNA from 1 species
AUAGUUACCUGGCAGGGGAGAUACCAUGAUCACGAAGGUGGUUUUCCCAGGGCGAAGCUUAUCCAUUGCACUCCGGAUGUGCUGACCCCUGCGAUUUCCCCAAAUGUGGGAAACUCGACUGCAUAAUUUGUGGUAGUGGGGGACUGCGUUCGCGCUUUCCCCUG